GUGCUUCUUCUGCGAAUGGGCUGGGGUCUGCUGAACUGCAGUCCAGGUGUAGAGCAUGCAACCGCACUUCUGAGCUUUUAGGCUGGGUAAAAGAUGUAUUCCAACAUUGUGCACCGACAUGGGACAAGGAAUCUUUGCUAAGAGAACUAACUGUUGUAAGUAAGAUCUUUCGACUGAGUGAAAACACAAGAGGGAGGCAGCUGUUUUGGAAGUCUGAGGAGCUCAUAGAAAAACUAAAGGGUGGAGUAGCAGAGGCCAUAGCUAGCAGAAGUAUAUUAUCUUUUCUCCAAGGUAAAUCUCGUAUCUUGUUCUCUAUUGCUACUGCACUUUCUGGAACAAUGCAUAAAAACUGCUAUAUGGUUUAUAUCUAAAUGUUGAGGCAUAGUUGUUUGAUUGAUUGAUAUGCCUUGGAUCUCAAGCUGUAUCAAAUACUUUCCAUCUUUAGUUUAGGUAACUUGGGAUGAAACAUGUAACAAUAACUCAUCACUCGUGACAAGAGUUUUAGCCGACCUUUCUGCUCUUGAAUCUUGGAAUCAGAUAUGCUCUUGCUCUGUUAAGCGUGUCGACAGAGAGAUUGAAGACAUGCUUGAUCCAUAAAGGAUUCUUUUCAUGCUCUUCCUUUGUUGCUCGUAUCAUCUUUUUUAUCCAGCUCUUCUUAGUUAUUUUUUGCUUUAGAUAGAAAAUUAGUUUUUACAGAAGGGAGAGGUAGCAGUACAAUCAUCGAGGGUCAGGUUCUUCUCCCUUCUGUAAACAUUAAGUUUUAAGGUUAGAAGUUAGAAUCAAGAUUGCAAAAAAAAAUUACAUGGAAAAGAAUUCAGAUUAUCCAAGUUCCAGAACCUUCUAUUAUUUAACUGGUGAAAAAAUGAAAUUGGAAAGAACAUCAAGCAAAUUGAGCAACUAUCUUGUCACUCUUAUCAUUGAAAUGACAAAAGAAAGUGGCACUUUCAUGUAGCCUGAGAUGGUGGUAAAUGUCUGAGAUCAGGAUGUCAUGAAGUGGAAGGUCUCCUACAACUGUGAAAUAGAUAAGAAAUAGGAGGUAUCACUUUCAAGAUUUCAUUGUUUGAGAUGAAUAUAUUUUCUAUUCAAUGGCAGCAAAGGUGAGAAUAGCCUAUGUGCUAAAGGAAAGUACUGACUCCUGCCACAUCCUCAAAAUCUAAGCGGAAUAGAAGUCAAAUGUCUAGCAGGAUUACCAGUUUCCUGCACUUGUAUAUAAAAGUGAAAUAUCUCGAAUGAAUUCACCAAGUCUACUUUCUCUCCAAAGCUAUAUUCUUUCACAGUUUAUAACAUUCUGAUCCUUAGAUUUAUGCUUAACUCCUCUUCAAGUGUUCACCUUCUUUUGUCAGUUUCACUCUCCUCUUGUAUCUGCUUUUGUGUUCUUCCACUUCUGUACUGUAAAUUUAAAUCUCUGUACUUGACUAUGUAUUUUGGUACACUAUAUUCUCUGCUGAUCAACCAUCAACCACCCCAAGCUUCCCUUGGCUGAGCUCUAAUUUUGGUACAAGAUAUGAGGGCGACAAAUAUUUCAUACUUCCCAAUAGUUAAGGAGCUCCAUUUGUUUUUUGGCGAUAGAUCUGUUGGUAUAUAACCUAGGUGCUAACUGCUAUGUUGCUGUAGAUCAAAAAUUGAUCCUUUAAAAGUUCCUGCAGGAACUAUAUAUUUUUAUAAUCCCCAAAAAGAAGCUACUGCCUCCUUGCCAUCCAUGUUGCAUGCUUAUCACUUUUUUGUUUCUUGGUGUUCUGAACACCUAUUUCCCUCUCAAUCCUCACUAUGUCCAAUUUCUCCUAUUUUUUUGUUCUUUUUUCAAAAUUUAGCGUGAGAGAUUUUCCUGCAAAAAGGCCGAAAAGAGUGAUUUACUUCUGCUGAGGAACUAGAAAUUAAAUCUGCACUAGUAGAAAUGCCUGUAUCACCAUCAUCAACAACAACAACAACAACCCAGUAUAAUCCCACUUAGUGGGGUCUGGGGAGGGUAGUGUGUACGCAGAACUUACCCCUACCCUAGGGUAGAGACUGUUUCCAAAUAGACCCCCGGCAUCCUUCCCUCCAAGAACUUCCCACCUUGCUCUUGGGGAGACUCGAACUCACAACCUCUCGGUUGCAAGUGGGGGUUGCUUACCAUCAGAGCAACCCCUACAGCUUCCUUAAAGAGUUUGAAGGUUCCAUGUUCUAUCUCACUAGAGUUACUUUCUCCUGAGUCCUGCCUCCCUUUACUGUCUGUUUCUUUUUUUAUUUCUGCCUCAGUAGUGAAGUCUCUUUGAGUGAUUGGUCCUCCUUCUGACUCUAUUUAUGUGAUCUCUGACUCUAUCCGCACCUUCCCUUUCAUGAUCCACUUGCAUCCCAUUUUCUAAGGCUGAUGGGCACAGAUCGGUCCUUAUUUUGAAGGAAGAAAAGAUAGAAUAAUUUGGGAAUUCCAUCAUUUCCCGUCAUAUAUUUUCCUGCCAAAUUUUGGUGCAAACAGGGGAAAGAUGACCAGAUUCUGGUACAUGCAUGGAAAUGCCGCACACGGACACGGAUAGAAGGUUUAUGUGAGAUGCCUCCUUUCCUUUUCUCCUUCUAUCUGAUAGGACAAAAUUCAUUCUUCUCGGGAUGAACAUCCGCCCUUCAUCCUUUUCCCUUUCUCAAUCACUCAUCAUGCUAUCACCAAAAUCCUAAGAAGUUGAAAAGAGAGUAGGCCUAAAAUGCAUGGCAUAAUUUCUUCUUGUAUCUUCGUUACUUUCUUGGAAGAACUAUUCUGAAUAUCAUCAAUUUAUGUACUCAUUUUGGUGAAGAGCUUGAGAUGGACUCACAAAAGAGCAGUGAGGCUGGAAUUAACGGAAGGAUGAUGCCACCACAGGAGGCAUGCAGCCGAAUCGCUGAAGUGGUACAAGAAGCAGUGCAAAAAAUGGAAAUAGUGGCCGACGAAAAAAUGAGGAUGCUAAAGAGAGCUCGCCAAGCUCUCGAGGCUUGUGAUCAUGAACUGGAGGAAAAAGGUAAGGAAGUUGCAGAACUGAAGCUGGAGAGGCAGCGAAAAAGGCAACAGAUAGACGAAUUGGAGAGCGUUGUUAGGCUUAAAGAAGCAGAAG
rnacentral:lncRNA from 1 species